UGAACCAGCCAAGUAGCGUGCAGGAUGACGGCCCUAUGGGUUGUAAACUGCUUUUAUACGGGGAUAAAGUGAGCCACGUGUGGCUUAUUGCAGGUACCGUAUGAAUAAGGACCGGCUAAUUCCGUGCCAGCAGCCGCGGUAAUACGGAAGGUCCGGGCGUUAUCCGGAUUUAUUGGGUUUAAAGGGAGCGUAGGCCGUCUGUUAAGCGUGUUGUGAAAUGUCGGGGCUCAACCUGGGCAUUGCAGCGCGAACUGGCAGACUUGAGUGCACGGGAAGUAGGCGGAAUUCGUCGUGUAGCGGUGAAAUGCUAGAUAUGACGAAGAACUCCGAUUGCGAAGGCAGCCUGCUGUAGUGCAACUGACGCUGAAGCUCGAAAGCGUGGGUAUCGAACAGGAUUAGAUACCCUGGUAGUCCACGCGGUAAACGAUGGAUGCUCGCUGUUUGCGUCUGACGUAAGCGGCCAAGCGAAAGCGUUAAGCAUCCCACCUGGGGAGUACGCCGGCAACGGUGAAACUCAAAGGAAUUGACGGGGGCCCGCACAAGCGGAGGAACAUGUAGUUUAAUUCGAUGAUACGCGAGGAACCUUACCCGGGCUUGAACUGCAGGCGAACGAUACAGAGAUGUUGAGGCCCUUCGGGGCGCCUGUGGAGGUGCUGCAUGGUUGUCGUCAGCUCGUGCCGUGAGGUGUCGGCUUAAGUGCCAUAACGAGCGCAACCCCUGUUCUCAGUUGCCAUCGGGUAAAGCCGGGCACUCUGUGAAGACUGCCUCCGCAAGGAGUGAGGAAGGUGGGGAUGACGUCAAAUCAGCACGGCCCUUACGUCCGGGGCUACACACGUGUUACAAUGGCAUGUACAGAAAGCGGGCCGUAUGCAAAUACGGUCAAAUCCCUAAAACAUGUCUCAGUUCGGACUGGGGUCUGCAACCCGACCCCACGAAGCUGGAUUCGCUAGUAAU
rnacentral:rRNA from 1 species